GGAGAUAGCCAACACUGUUUAUAUAUAUAUAUUUUUUAUUUUAAUUGAGGUAGCUCCCAAAAUAUUGGGACAUACAAAAAAAGAAACAUUUGCCGCCUGUGGUGCAUUUCUUGCAGUCCUGAUACAUGGAGAAAUGCUCAACUCCUGAUGCAUGGAGAAAAGGCCUUCAAAAACCUCUGCUAUUGUGUACAUAGUUUAUACUAAGUGACCCAUAGGUUGAGGAGGCGGUGACCGUGGCGGUGUAAGUGGAAGCGGCGGUGGAGAAAGAGGAGAUAGCCAACACUGUUUAAAUAUGCUAUUGACUGCACCUACCAUGGUGACCACGGGUAACGGGGAAUCAGGGUUCGAUUCCGUACAGGGACCCUAAGAAAUGGCUACCACAUGCAAGGAAGGCAGCAGGCGCGCAAAUAACCCACUCCCGACGCGGGAAGGUAGU